GGGAAUGUGGCUUAGUGGUAGAGUGCUUGCCUAGCAUGCAUGAAGCCCUGGGUUUGAUUCACCAGUACCA
rnacentral:tRNA from 1 species